GAACAGAUGUUGGUGGCAACGCACCGUGUGAUUAUCGCCACGGUGAUAGAGGAACAGAGGCGGCAGGCGGCCUUGGAUGGAUGCUGAGUUCCCAGUUGUCUUGAAAGCACCAAACAUCCAGAGAAUACCAGACUUUGAUGACAAAAUCUGAUGACAAAAUUUGCCCACGAAGGACAGCCGUGCCACCUUGCUGUUCAAGUGAGCACAGCACAACAAGACCCACAAAAUGCCUGGUGUUCACAAGUUUGGGAGUGAAGAGAGCGGGGGACUUUUGAGCUCUGGGCCCCUGUGGCUGUUUGCCUGGCUUUCUGACAUCAUAGGGUAAGGCAGUCUCUGAUCCGCCAGCUCAGAGACACCAUCUGAUCUGACAGGCUUAAUUGACUAUGUCAGCCCCUUCAAAACCAUUUCCCCCUCGCGCUGACAGCAAUCUAGAAUUGACAAAUUAGCAGAAACUUUAACCUUUAGACUGAUUAUAAUGUGUUCUGAGGGAAACAAAUGAACUUCUAUUUGUUAACGUCAGGCUUUGGUUCAAGUCGUAUAAAAAAAAGGAAAGGCAAUCUGGAGGAUGAUUUGGGAGAUUGUGUGUCAUAUAAAUUAAAUGUUUUGUCUUGGCUUUGAUGAAGAGUUCCAUUCUUGUUCUAGAGAUUGUGUGGUGUGUUUCACAGUAGAUGAGAUAUUUAAUUGCAGUUAUUGAUUUUGUAAUUUUCAACAAAAAGCUUUCGUUUUGUUCAGAUGUAUUUCUUUAGCGACUA